rnacentral:lncRNA from 1 species
GGGAGGCUGGGUCUAGCCGCUCCAGUCCCAGAGGGGCAGAUUUGCAGCGCGGGCCUCGCGGAUGCGAACUGGCUCAGCGAGCGCAAGUGGCACACGCACAGCCAGCAGCCGCGCGUGGGCUCUGGCCUCGCGCUAGCUGCAAGUCGCGGGCUGAACCUGCUGGAGCUCGGCCAGGCCCACGGUCCUGCACGGGCGGGCGCCUCUCGGGGCCGAGCGCCUCCCCUCGGCCCUCGCUUCCGCCCGAGACCCGGCGGCUGCCCUGAUCCUGCCGAAAGGGGGCAGCAGCCGGCGACGUACAGGAACAGCGCCCUGCUGGCCCUGGUGAUCGGGCUACCCUGAAGGUUUAGGGUGGAAAGCCAGACCUACAGUCUCGAGGUGCACAGCAGCAGCUGCACAACCUUGACCUUGCGACCUUGGGUUUCCUUGAGCCAGGAAUGGGCCAAGCCAUCUAUGCACCUACCAGCGCCUGUAAACUUAGCGUACAGCAAAAAUUCAGAGAAGUACUUGGGAACUUCUGAUCCGGGAGUCCUUGGAUCACCGUGGGAAGGAUCCCGAGGCAUUUCGAAAGUGGAAACUGGGCGGAUGAAGCCAGUUCUGCCCGGGAGCAAGCGCAGCAAAGCGUCGGUGGUGCAGCCGGUUCCGGAGCUCGGAGCUGGGGCAGCGCCGAUUGGUUUCGACCCAGACACAUUGCUAGGGCGCUGGAUCUUCCUGUAACCUCCCGCGUUUGGUAUGCCAGAACACUGAGUGCUCUCAGUUGUGGAAGACACAUUAUAUGCAUCUUCUCCAAAUCCACAUUUCCUCAAAAUGAGCACUUUUCCCUCCGACUCUUAAAUUAUUUUACUAGGGCAAUAUUUUAUAAAGAAAAAUCUCUUGUAAAAAUUUAGAGACUAGUACAGUCGUCUCUAAAUAGCUUUGAAAAAUGGUAACUGUUAAAUUAUCCAAAUGAAAAAGUAUGUAAGAGGCAAGAUUGUGCCUUUCUUCUAUAAAUCUCAUGUACAAUUAAAAAACCUAAUUAAUCCUUGAAAUACCUUUGGAAGUAAAGGGAAGAAUCAUUCUGUAAUUACAGAAUUUGUAACACUAUGACACCGUGGUGAUUAUAUUUUAUUACAAUGAUGAACAAAACAUUGAUGAUGUCUAAUUUUAAUGUAAUUUUUCUGAUACUCUAAUCAAUUUUAGAAAUGCAGCAAUUUUAGAAAUACAACCAAAGGAAGACUUUGAGAACAUAUUUGUCAGAAAUUUCAUUAACACAGGAGGUUUCUAACAGGAUGUAAGAUUACAGACCUUUCCUAAAUAAUACUACAAGUAAGGCAGUAGCAAUUUGUAGGAAAAAUAUUUAAGAGGGACCAGGAGAAAAACAGAAGAUGAGGAAAAGAUUAGCCUGUGGUCCAGGUAGGGGAGUGACCUCUGAGUAAAUCCAAGUGAGAGGAUUUCCAAGUUGGGCUCAAAUGCAUGGGAGAAACCAGAGGUGCAGCUGCUCCUGUGGACAGCCCUGCAGCCCCUGACGCCUCGGCUAGGGCUCUAAGUAGGAUCUGAGAAUGCAGACUGCUCUUUGUACCUAAAGAUAAACCUGAAUAGUAAUUAAAUUUGCCAUGGACCAACACUGCCUAUAAGCAAUUGCAUGCUGAGCAUGUGGGUAUUUUAGUCUAUGUUUUACAGGGGCAAGACUCUACCAAAGUACCCACCACAAAUGUUUUCCUUAAAAAAAAUUUGCCACCAAUUGGCAAUAACAGGAAUUGUCAGUAAUUUCAACGUGCAAAGAAAUAUCUUGUUUUAUAACACAGUGUGGCUUCUGUUAGUCAUAAUUGCUAUCAUUUCUUGUGCCACACAUAAGGAAGAUAUUGUUUUAUAGAGGUUCUGAGAGUUUAAGCUGCUUUGCUAAAUUUGCAUUUUCUUCUUCUAAAGCCCAGGCCUUUUACACUAUCCUAACAUUGGAAUGUAUCCUUGUAUUGGGGAGCAGCUUUUGUAUUCUCAGAAGUCUAGUGACUGAACAAAAAUAAACUUAUUUUUAUUUGAAGAGUCUACGACCAAGUUAAAAAAAUGGGACAAAACUCUUCCAUGCCAUAGAGGAUUCCAACUCUGAGUUUCUGUAUAAAAAGGUUUAGGAAGUAUUAUUGAGGUAGGAAGGAUUCCACUUAUUCUAAAUUUUCAGAAAUCUAAACAGAAACAGUACGAUUACUGUAUGCAGAGAUUCUAUAUUUUGCUUUGCCUAUUAUAUAAAGAGCUAUGCAGUCAAUCUAAAAUAUGAAAAAAAUUGUUACUUGAAAAAAAUGUAGUUUGUUUGUUAGACAAUUAUUUUUAAUUAUAUUAGACCCAUGGAAGGUUUAUAAAAAUGAUAUUAAAUAUUAAAGGGGAGACUUUGGACCUGAAAAGGAAACACUGAUACAUGGAAAAAUCAAUUACGAUAGUUAUCCUGUAUGUUAGUUUUGCCUCUAAAUAGAAGAUCUCUACAUAUAAAGGAUUUUUGUUGUGGUUGGGAAUUUUAUAUUGUAUUUUUACAAACACAACACAUUGUUAUGUGAAGAGCACUAGUGUAAAUUUGUCAAAUUUAAAUUACCUGCAUUUGGAGUUAUAUAGGGAUGGAGUUUGGAAAUCAAGCAAUAGGAUACAGUGUUGCUAGCACUACCUGAUUGCUAUGUUUUCUCUGGGCAGGUGAUUCUUAAAUAUUGCAUUUUAGAAUCCAAUGCAGAUUUUGCUUAGGGAUUUAUGUGGAUUUUAUCUACAUUAGAAAUUAAAAUUCUAAAAAUGUUUAACAUAUUUAUUUAGUUAUAAUAAGCUUAUUACAUAUUAAUAAAAGGCCAUGUUUUAUGAAAAAUAACUAUGUUCACUCCCCCAGUUGAAAAAAAUAUUGUGUUCACUUUUCAUUGCGCUGACAAAGUACUUGACAUAAAUGACUUGAAAGGAAGAAAGGUUUAUUUUGGCUCAGAGUUUCCGUGGUCAGCUGCCCAAUUGCUUUUAGGCCUGUGAUAAGGCAGAAACAUCAUGGCGCCAGGACGUGGUAGACGAAAGCUACUCUCCUUAUGGUAGUCAGGAAGUAGAAAGAGAACAGAAAAAAUCUCAAUAGGUAGGGACCAGAAGUUAUCCCCAGGGUAAUGCCUCCAUGCCUCACUUCUCCAUUUCCUCCCAGUAAUACCAUCAAAUUAUAAUCUUAGCAACACAUUAAUGUAAUUGAUGAAGUUAAGGGCUUCAUAAUACAAUCACUUCCCAAAAGAAAAAACCAGGCACACGAGCUUACAUAGUGAGUGGUAUCUCUUAUAGGAGAAACCCAAAAUACAAAUAAAGAGAAAAAUAAAAGAUAGAUGAUAGAAUACAGAGAAAUAGGUGUUUACAAAUGGGAAAGGGACCAGGAGAUGGAGGGAAAGGUAAGGAAAAGGGAAGAGAUGAUUAAGACGCAAACAAACAAAAACCCACCAGCAACCAAGACUUCAAAACAAAUGACAUUUUGAGGGAACAUUUUAAUACAAACUAUAGCAAAUGUCAUUUUCCGUUUACAAAUCUCUCUAACAUCUGAUUUACCAGAGGCAACUGCAUUACUGUAUUUGUGCCUGUCUUCUGUAUAUUGUGGUAUGUUGUGUAGACUGAAGUAUAUGAAAAAGAUCUGGUCUCAAAGGAUAUACAGUUGAAAAGGAAGGAAUAUUUAAAUAGCUCUUUCACCUAAUAGUGAAAAGUCUUUGAUGUUACUCCCAAAUCCUCCAAGUGGUAAUUUAAAAAAACUUGUUGCAAUAUGGGAGUUUAAUUUACAUCAGUAAACUUUUCAUACUUUUUUAGGUUAAAAGCCAGUGGUUCAUUGACUGUAUCUCUCGUCCAGGCACUGUUUAUAAUCCAUUGAUCAUUUGGAAUACAUUGAUCAUUUGCACACAUUGAUCAUUUGGAAAUUAUCGGUUUACUGAAUUAGGCUUAUCUUUCAAAAUGCUGUGUGAUUCACCGCACAUUAUUAAAAAUAUAAUUUUCAUUAGGAAAAUUUUUACAUAUUAGGAUAAUACAAAUUUUCCAAUAUUCUCAUUUUUGCCUGCCCAUAAGUUAAAAUUUUAAUUAUUAGUAUAAAGUAUUGGCAGUUGUUUUCCUUGAAGGAACAGGCUCACUUUGUUUAUUUCUGAGAAAAUAUCUGCCACAUAUUCAAAGCUGAAUAGCCAUAGUUUGUCUGUCAAUCAGUUCUUUCAAACAAAAAUUAUGUUCUAUAAAAUAGUGAAUAGUUAAACUUGAGCUUGACUGUACCAGCCCUUUCCUUAGACAACUGUCAUAGUUUUGUAUAGCAGAAACAAUUUAUUUUAUCCCACAGAAUAUUAAAAAGAUGUUCCCUGAGUGGAGUGAGGAUCAUUAAGAUUUGAUAAAAUUAGUUAUCUUUAUUGCUUUGUCAAUCACGUUCUUGAAUAAAACUGGCUGCUUUUUUGUUACUGAAAAUGUGUGUUAAUGAAAAACCAGGUACUACACAGUACUCCUUUAUCUGUGGUUUUAUUUUCUGAAGUUUUGCUUUCUGUGGUUUUGGUUACUUAAGGUCAGCUGUGGUCUGAAAAUAUUAAAUGGAAAACUCCAGAAAUAAACAAUUCAUAAGUUUCAUAAUGUGUGUUGUUCUGAAUAGCGCGAUGUAAUUUUGUGUCAGU